rnacentral:tRNA from 1 species
AAAAAGUUAGUAUAUGUAUUACAAGUGGUUGUCGGCUAUUAGAAGAGAGUUUAUUCUCACUUUUUG